GAUGAACGCUGGCGGCGUGCCUAAUACAUGCAAGUCGAGCGAACAGAUAAGGAGCUUGCUCCUUUGACGUUAGCGGCGGACGGGUGAGUAACACGUGGGUGACCUACCUAUAAGACUGGGAUAACUUCGGUAAACCGGAGCUAAUACCGGAUAACAUUUGGAACCGCAUGGUUCUAAAGUGAAAGAUGGUUUUGCUAUCACUUAUAGAUGGACCCGCGCCGUAUUAGCUAGUUGGUAAGGUAACGGCUUACCAAGGCGACGAUACGUAGCCGACCUGAGAGGGUGAUCGGCCACACUGGAACUGAGACACGGUCCAGACUCCUACGGGAGGCAGCAGUAGGGAAUCUUCCGCAAUGGGCGAAAACCUGACGGAGCAACGCCGCGUGAGUGAUGAAGGGUUUCGGCUCGUAAAACUCUGUUAUUAGGGAAGAACAAAUGUGUAAGUAACUGUGCACGUCUUGACGGUACCUAAUCAGAAAGCCACGGCUAACUACGUG
rnacentral:rRNA from 1 species